CAGGAAUAGAAGCCAUCAGUGGUUAGGUGUGUUAUAAAUACAUUAUUACUUCAUUGUAAUGGCAUACAGGCCUUGGCGAGACUGCGGAGUGACCUCACCCGCUGUCAGGCCUCGGCUCGCUCCUGGAGACCCCGCGCUGCCGGCGCCCGCUCGGAGCUGCAGCAGCAAGGACCCCCAGUAGUGCCCAGGGACCUCACCGGCUGCUCUUCGAUGCUGUCGGGGCACACGGGAGGCUGUUGGGAUGGAUCCGUAUCGGAUCUGGGAAUGGAGUGGUGUGGGGGUUUGGGGGGUGUUUUUGCCUUUUUUUUUUUUCCAAGUCACUCAGUUCCCGAACUAAACACGCCGAAAGGCUUCCAGUCUUUCAGCUGCUUCCUAAGAUGUUCUCGCCGACUGGGCUUCCACCUCGAUCAUCUCGACUUUAGGAAGUGCUUCUAUGAAGCCAUCUUUGCACCAGAAAUCCAUGUUCUCGCGGCUAAACGUUGGCUAAUGCUUUUAGGUACUCAGCUGCAGGCAAACUUUUUCCCAAAAUGGGGGCCAUCAGUCCUCAUUAAAAUCAACACAUAUAUCGUCUUGGACACUCCAAAUCAUUAGCUGCUGCAGAAAAUGCUGGCCAACUUUUUGCUUAGCCUUAUUAAAACACAUUUUUGAGUUAUGAAAAAGAGCUCAACCUCCUCUGAGAAGAAUUUUGAGCAGAAGAGAGAUUUUACAACUAAGGAAAACAGAAUGAACUGCAACUAGAGGUGGUUUCAUAUGGGUAUAAACCAGGUUUAUCUGGUUUAUUGCUUUACCGCUUAGGGGACAGCUAUAGACAAAGCGGUGUGAUAUGAAGCUCUGUGCAUACAGACACAACGUGCAAUUGCAGACAACCUCAAGCUGUCAGUCAAAAUGAUGAGACUGACACGGGCUUGACUAUACCAGGACCACAGCUGAAGAAACGGAAGCAAGGCCGGUGUCUCCGAGGCGGUUUUCGGCUGCUUCCUUGCCGUCGCAGCCCCAGCUCCGCAGCGGUCCCCCCAGGCGGGCAGGACGUGGCCCGGCGGCCGUGCUCCUGCUUGCCGACCCUUGGGGCCGCGGCGGCCGGGUGCUCGGUCCUGCCGGGGCAGAGCUUGGUUGCUGCCAGCGAAAUGCAAAGCGGCGCAGGCGAUGUGAAGGAGGAAGGCCCCAGACUCCUGGAAAUAGCUGACGGAAUGUAUUUUUGACGGUCUUGCCUUUUCUCAGCAUCAUCACAGCUCGUGAGAUCCCCAUGCCUACCGCAUCUCCUGCGUUACUCCAAAACGCUCCCUGGCAGCUGCUCUGCAUUGCCCCUGAAAUCAAUCCCAACACUCAGGAUUUUCCAAAGCCUCUAGAGGAUCAUGCAGUUAAAAAACAAUCCUCUUCCUUAAGGCCUUUCCCAGCUUAGCCCCCGAAAUGUGUAGAGUGACAAGGUCUAAAUCCAAACUGCAUACGGCGUUCUCCAUUCGGGACACUGGGUCAGCCAAAUCCAGACACUUUGCAUCUCUGGAGCCGCUCGAGGCCAACAAAACGUACUCCACAAGUCUGGCUUCCUGCUCUGCUUUACAUUUGUAACUUGGACCUUUGGUGGUAAGCCUGUUUCCUCCAUGUUUUUUUCCUCUGCAUGACACUGAGCAAACUCACAAGAAUAAUCAUAAAAUAAUGAACCAAAUUAAUAAUACUGUUAUUAAUAGAAUAAUCAGAAUAAUGAGAAAAUAAUUUUGAAAAUGUCAGCAAUAAAACAUAUCAGAAAUGAAAUAUCUUCUCUUCUUAGAGGAGGCACAGUGCCGGCAUCUCACCAAGCUGACAUCACGACUGGUGCUGAGCUGUGUUUAAAUUUACGCUCUCCUGGAGGAGGCUGGGAACUGCCAAGCUAUGACCGUCCGCUCAGAUUUUCUUCUUGUUUUUGUAGGUGAGGGGGGAAAAAUUUGUCACCCCGACGGCUUUUCCUCUUUGUUAAGGGGAAAUGAAGCAUCCCGCCGUCAUCCCACUGCACCAUGGCACAAGAAGCGGGGGGCCGCCACGGAAGGCAGGUUUGCACUCAGCGCAUCCUCCCAGCCCGGUCCAAGCCUUGUAACGACGUGUGUCCAGCUCGUGAGGGUUGCCCGUGCUUUAUAUCACGUUAAGCACACUGUAUGAGCAUUCGUUUGCUUGUUUGGAGACUGUAAUAAUAUAUCUUUAUUCCAGAGAUGGUUUUUUUGCAGCUCGGUAAAGCUAUUACAGUUGAAUAUGGGGGAGAAAAAAGGAAUCAGAGGGAAUUUUCAUGCUUUUAUUGCCUUUUUUUAUGUGUCCCCCUGUUAAGUGUGUAUCACUAGCAAUGCAGUCAAUCUAAUUUUGCUAUCGGAUAACAACAUCAUGGCCAAAUAAAAAAAUAGCAUUUUAUAUUAGCCGUUUUUGGAGAGGAUUACGCUGUCAUAAACAGGCUCAGCAGGAGUUUCAAGCAGGGUUUGAUGUGCAGUAUGUGCCUGAAAUGUCUGCUUCUGGUUUCCUUACACAGGAGGAUGGUCCUAGCUUUUGUGGAUUUGGGAGACCAGCUGAUAGAAAGUACAUGGUCCUUGCCGUAGCUUCUGCUUUUUCUUGUGCUCAUCACUAACUCCACAUAUGAAACAGCAAGUCCGAAAAAAUCACUUGGAUAUGGCAGGGGGAAAAGGCUGGAAUGCUACUUGGCAAAUCUUAGACACCAAACAGUAAAGCGUGGCUACUGUAAACAAGGUAAGGGAAGCUGUGUCAGCCCACUCCGUUGCCUCCAUGUGCAGACCGUAUUUAUGUGUCCUCGGAAGAGAGGUCUCUCGCUGUUGGCAAAGAUAACGGCCUGUUUCAGAACAAGCUAAGGGCCAGGUCCUCGGCAAGGUGGAGAUUGCAAUAGCCCUGUGGAUCUCCCUGGAUCCAGGUCAAUGGACCCCAGCUGAAGUCGUGCCCGAUCACCUCCGACAAGGGGCUGAAAGAGUGGAGAGGGUGAAAAAAGGGGAGUUGCUGCUGAGCCGUUUACAUCUGUUUUGUUUAGUCAGAAAGCUCAUUAUUCCUUUUCUGGAGAAAAUAAUGCAACUUGGAGAGGUGGCCUUGAGCACACACACGCAAAGGUCCUGCAGCCAGAAGCGAGCCGUAAUCAGCAGAAGGCUGUGCAGCGUUGCGGUAACAGAUCAUAAUAUUCACUUUCCUUGGAAUGCAGCUUAGUUGGCUUCGUCCGAGGGAAACGUUUUCUCCCGGCCCCCACCCGCUCUCUUCUGGCACGGCGGAGAUGAAGCACUUGAUGGCUCUCCUAGAAGUAACCGAGGGCCCUGCCCUGCCGUGGGGACAGGGGCUUCUUGUAAAAGGAGGGGAAAUUUGGAAGCUACACAGUAUUAUUUUAAGUUUGGCUAUAUUUAAACUCACAGAUCCUUACCAGAUUGUUACCUGGAGUAUGUUAGCAGGUUGCCAUGGACUUCAGAGCAGCAAUGUUGGCAUAGACCUUCGGAGGAGCCGGGCUUUAUUUAUUUAUUUUUUUAUCAUGUUUUGCAUGACUUCACCCAUAACCUUCUGCGGUCUUUUCACUGUUCAUUCUCUUGGUAUGGCAAAACUUGAGAUAUGCUACAGUAAGGCUGGAUCCUACAAUAAUAAAAAACUGAUUUGGAUUGCUGGUAGAGAGGAAGAGGCUGGUUGUCGGGAGGGUGGAUUUUAAGGAAGAGUUGUCUCAAUAGCAAUGGAAAGAGCUGAAUUAAACUCCCCCUUCCCUUUUUUAAUUCUCCAUCAGCAGGAGCAUAUUUCAUGAGCUCCCCAUUGAGGUUAGAUGUGCCGAGCCUAUUUGCAUACUUGGAAGAGGUCCCCAUAUAGAGGAGCACAGUGAAUACCUCUGGCAUUUCAUAUUUAAGUUCUAAAUAUAAAUGCAGUCUAGAAGGAGUUUGUAUGCGAAACUAUCCUAACUGCUUGCUUUCUCACUAACUAGAGUCCUUAAUGACAUGUGAUUUUCUAUGCUAGGGAAGUUCUGAUUAUAAUAUACACGUAAAUGUGCAUGUUGUGCACAUUGUUAAUUGAAAGGCUGAAUAUUUAAUGUACUGAGGGUGCACAUCUAUUUCUCGAGUGUACAAGGAGCACUGCAAACCACAAGCACAAACAACCCAGCUAUCAGCAGGCCAGGACCUGCGUUUGCACUGCUUUAGGUAAAGACAAGAACUUCUGGACCACUAGAACAAUUUGGCCUGUUGGCCUGGCGCACAGCAAUGCGUGAUUAAAAAACAAUUCCACAGUGUGCAUCCAUUUGAAUACCAAGUUAUUUUAUAAAGCCUACACUGUGUGUUUUGAAUGCACAUUUGCUGUUAUGAAUAACAGGAAUUGUUUGGCUUGGCCUGCCUUUGUGCCGAUGCCAGCUGGCAAGGAGUGGAGCUGCGACACAUGACACUACAGCUGUGUCCACAUGUUUCUGCAUUGCAGUAUCCACUUAUAUAAUUUACUUUUUUGAUCCACAGUCGAACUAUUCAAGUGAUUAUAAUUUGCUUUUUUGAUCCACAGUCGAACAAUUUAAGUGAGCUCAUCAAAUUACACAGGCCAGCCACUUCUCUGAGAAUACUUAUUUUGCCAUUUCCCGAAAAAAAAAAAAGCAUAGUCAUCAUUCAUUACUUGUGGCAACGCAGCAGCUUCAUGAAACACACUACAGUAAAUAUACCUCCUUAAUUGAACUUGAGUAUUUUUUCCACUUAAUACACAUAAUUGCAAGACAAUAGCAUAGUAUUUAAUCAAAUGAGCCAUUGCAAGAGUAACUAAUGACGACCUUACUGUAAGUGAAAGACCAGACCCUGCAUCUGCUUAACUUUCCUAUAUGUCAGUGGGAUGCUCUUAUUUCCCAUUGCAGUUGGGUUUGUGAUUGGGCAAGGGUAACUCGCUAACUCAGAAUUAGUAAGAUUUUUCAGCCUGUUGAAGGAUCUUGUCUUAGCCAAGGCUAUAUUUAAGAUUGGUGAGCUUGGAAAAAUCCAGCUGAAAUUGAACUUAACCCAAACUAAAUGUAGACUUCUGAAACUUUUUGAAAGAAAAUGCACUACCUCGAUUCCAGAUAUUGAAGCCCAAAGCAGGAAAUACAGAGAAAAUAUACAACCUUUUCAGCCUGCUGGUAAAGCAGAAGUAGUAUGGCACUAAAACGGACAACAUUUUCAUGUAAGCCUAUUCUAUUUUAUUUACCUCUUCAAUCAGAGUGAAACAGGAGAGGGCACGGAUUUAGCUUUUUGCUCAGAAUUUAGGAAAUACUACCCAAGCGUUUUAUUCCCAGUGCACACUGAACUCUGCUGCGAUACGCGCUGGCUUGCGCUAAUUCAGUGCAGCUUUUGGACUGUCAGGUCUCGUACAGCCCAAAGUAGCUGCACAUUAUCCACCGUAUGGUCCUGGUAUAGUAACGCGCCGCAUUACAGAGCCAGGGUCACAAGUUCGUGGCAGGAAUGAUUCAUGUAGCCCGAAGGAGGGAGCCGGAAUUCAAUACGUGGCACCAGGGAGAAGAGAAGGGGCUGAGACUGGAGGGCGACCGCCCGGCACAAGCUCUUCCCCGGUGGCUCUUCCAGCCAGGCAGAAGCGGCAUGGAGCUGGGCAGUGACAUGUCCCGUGUCCGCUUUGCAGUCCGUGACCUGGGCGGUGAUAUAUAGGCGAGGGAAAAGCUGACCUAGGUUGGAACGCAGUUCACAGAAAGCUGUGGUGAGAGCUGAGCCGUGCAUGACAACUGGAUAUUAAAUUCUGUUAGCACUUUAAGUUAUUGGGCAGCAAAGAGCUUUAAAAAAAACCCAGAGCAAUUGAGGUUUAACAACAAAAAGGAGAAAGUAGAACUUUAAAAAUCCUAGUGUUUUCUCAAGGCACUCAGUAAGUAUUAUGUUCUUGGUCAAUAACGUUGCCUUUGUGAUCAUAUUGACAACGUGUGUAGAAAUGUAUGUGGCAUGGCGAAUUGCAAUUUAAUGUCAAAUGACAAUAAAACAGUCAGAGAUUAUUCGUCUGAAACAAAAUAUCACUUUAAUUAAGCAUUCCACAGGAUAGCUGUAACACAUAUUAUUAACAGAGAAAGCACUGCCUGUCAGGUGUGGCUGGUGGUACACCAGAGCAACCGCAGCCCCAGGGCUGACGCUCUGCCUUUCGCUCAUCCCGCUGUGCCUAGCUGGAGCAGCUUGUAUAAGCAGACCCGGUUGCCCUUGAAGCUGAGCGCGAGUCUUUCCAUUUUAAUGACCCAUGAGUUACUGCACAUGUUUAAUUUGAGGCUCAACUUGCAAUAACACUCUCUCAGUCUUAAUGAUGAAGUUUGCUCAUGGGUUUUGCUCUUGUUUAGAGAGACGAACCUCAAAAAGUUGGGAAGCCCAUUUUUGGGGCUUCUCCCAACUGUCUGAAUUUCUGAUGCCCACACCACAAGCCUGGGACUCUUGCGAAGAUGGGAUUUCCCAUGGGGUUUCUCAGGCUUCCACUCACACUAGGCAGCACGGCCCCAGACCUUGCUUUCUUGCGAAUGAGGUAUCGUUGUGGUGGAUGUUGUAUGCAAGCCUGAGCGAGAAAACACAGUGAACGCUAGAAAGUAUGGAGUUACGUGAAUGUGGGAAGGUGUGAGCUGUAUUUUUCCAAGACACUAGAAGGUUUCCCUGAGCUUUAAGAUGGUUCUUGCUUAAUUUUCUUUUUUCUUUCUUUCUUUCUCUUGUUUUCCUAAACAGGCCAGUAUAGCCUAACUCAAACACAAUAAAAGACUUCCUUGCUAUUGUUAAUGUUAGCAAGAGUUUUGACAGCCUGUUUCAUCAGGACAAACUUCGGUCAGUGUUUGGCUUCUUUCAAGAGGCAUGUUUACAUGGAACUAUAUAUUUUAAAAAACAACAUCUAUUGGGAUGUCAGAGAAAUAACUGAUAUUAAGGCUUAGUAAGAGCCUGAGGAAUAAUCCAAGCUCUGUAUCUGGUUCUGCAGCUUCUAAAGUUAGGGAUGAAGAACUAAGCUAUAUGCAUAGUCUAUAAGAAACAACCUCUAAUUAAAUUUGCAGUUUUAGGCAUUGGACAUCUUUUUGUUUAUAUACAAGGAAAAUUUGUAAGGUGGGUUGAUGCCUUUAUGAGGAUCAUGAAACUCUCUAAAUGUCAGUCUUUUUCUUUCCUGAUUUUGCAUUUAGCAUUUCAAAAAUGAACAAAUGACCAAAAAUGGACAUGUGAGUUACAUUGCGUGAAACACAUACAAACACACGUAUAUGCCAUUCACAAAGGGCUUGAUCCCAGCCCAGUGAAAUAAAUGCAAUUGACUGUGUUUUGAAUCACAUCCUCAACAAGAUGAUUUCAUGCAUGCCCCAAGUUUUACCUGAACGCUGUCUCUCUAAUUAUCUGUGAGUGGGGAAUUUGCAUAUGGAGUAAUAGUUGAUGCAUCUAAUAACUAAUAGUGUAUCGUGUGGAACUAUUGUGUCUUCUCUGGUGAGGUGCAUUAAAGGCAGUGAGAAUGAUAGUUUUUAAUAAUUGCUUACCUUUGGUUUUGGUGUGUUGCAUGUCAAAAUAAGAGUUAUAAAGUGGCAUAAGUACUGACUGAAUUUUGCUACAGCCUUUCUAGUUUCACAGAAAAAAAUGUAAUUUGACUGGGUGUGUAUGGGGUAUCGAUGAAAGGUUUUGUAAUCUCUGAUGGAUGUAGGAAGCCUUCAUGAAAUGGAAGAAUUCUUCAUCACCUUUACUCAUUGGGUCUUGGUCCCAUAGACCGUGGACAGUCUGUAAUAGCAAGAAAAAGUUGGGUUUGACCCGGAGAGUUGUACAGGCGUUUGUGUGCAUACACUCCAAGAUGAGAAAAACAGGAACGGGUCAGGGCAGAGGGACAGUUGAGCCAAGGGUUGCCUCUCUUAUGGCUGGAGGAAUAGAUGGAUGCCAUUAGUUUAACAGAAGUAUUUUCCUACUUUCCCUUGUCAUGCUAGAAUUUGGUAGCAAAAAUUUUCAGGUAUUUCUGUGUGUUGUGAAAACACUUUCUUUUUUUCAGUUGUUUCUUAGUUUACUAAUUGAUUCUCUCCACUCUUGGUGGAAACAUCUCCUUUUCUGAUUGACAGUCUCUCAUGGCUUUUGUUGUUUUUUCAGUGAAAAGUCAUAGCAGAUACUGAUUUUUUUUCGUUAAUGGAAACUUAAAUUUAUAAUUUGAACAUCCCUAGCUAAUUUGCUGUUGAAAAUGAUCACAACUUUUCCCUUUAAUCAAAGUCAUCUUGUGGUACUGCAGAUUUAACCUCUUUCAGUUUUCUUCCUAUAAAGUGUCAGGCAAAAUUGUUGGAGGAACUUGGUCAACCUCGCAAUAGGAAGCAUAACUCAUCAUUGUCUGACUUCGUAUAUACCAGCUAUGACCUGUCAGUUUUGAAGGUGAUUUCUUGUUGAUGGAGUUUAGUUGUUGAAUCAAAAUAUGGCUUGGAGAGAGAAAAAAGAUGAGAAGUUUGCGGAGCUGUUUGUCUUCCACUAAGUGUCAGAAUGUCUCUGUGGCAUUUGGACAUUUUGUCUUUUUCUUUUUCUGCACAGAUAUGGUGAAAAGAGAGAGAGAGAGAGAGAGAGAGAGAGAAAGAGAGAGAGAGAGUGUGUGUGUUUAUAUGUAUGUAUGUAAGCCUUAGUUUGGGGUGUGAUGGCAAUAAGAUCCAUAGCGAUGGGCCCCCACUCAUAGACAGAAUAGACAGGAGGGAUCGUAACAGAAGUCAAAUACGGGUUACCUACAAAAUGGGAAGCACAUUAGCUUUGGCAGAUGCUCUACGGUGACUUGAGGAGAGGCAAAGUGCUCUGACCGUAAUGACUAGUGGAAAAGCUUCUUUUAAAAUCUAGACGUAGGGUUGAAAGGAGAGGAAUUAGUCACCGAGGUUUAAUGUCCUUGCCCCCUCCCACGACCCAGGUGAAGUCUCACGCUGGACUUGAAUUUAAAUAAUCCCUGUGGGACAGUGUCUAGAUCUCUCACACAAGAUGAGGGAGUCUGGUCAAACUUUGAUUCAGCCUUCCCCCCGUUAGCGGGAGCACUGUGGCCUCCCCGGCACAGGAGAAGAUUGCUCAGGGACUUCUCAGGGGCCUUUCCCUGGGCAGAACAAGCAACCAUACCAGCACCUCCUCUAGCAACGUAUUUGCGCAAGAAUUGCACUGGGGGAUGUGGUGACUCUUUUUUCAUACAGCUCUGGAAGUAGAUGAGAAUUUUAAAGAGUAAAAAGAGGCAAUAGCAAAGCAGUGGAUUCAACGAUAAGGCAGAUACUGAUGAAACACUCAGACCACGCAGCCUGUACGGUCCCCCUCUAUACAGCAAGGCUUUGAGACGGGUCCUGUUCCCCCGGGGCAGAGCUCCUGCAAAAUCCCAUGUGAGCCGUGUUCCUCUCUUCCCAAUGCUGGACAGUGACUACAUGCGAUGUUUUACCUUUUUUGUCUAAGAAUCAUCAUAGUAAAAUUAUAGCCUAAACGCUAUGAGACAAGACAUGGCAGCUAUUUGAGAAAUGAUUAAUCUUUACAAAAAUUACGGAAACAAAAACUGGGCUUCUCCCCAACCUUUUUCUGACUCUGCCUUUGAAACCAGAAGUAUUUUAAUAGAAAAGUCCAAUGAGAAAAGUAUAGGUUUUGACACCUGCAUAAAAUUUAGGAAGUUAAUCUGAAAAGUUUGGGCAGCUGGCUACUAGAAACAUUUUUUUUUGUUUUCAAGGAGUCUUUUUGGUCCAUUUUUUCCCCCCAGCAAGCCACUUACCACCAAAGCAGAAGUUUUUGACAGAAGCUUUUCAAUUGGCUCUACAGGACAUAGUUGCUCUUUGAGCAGUUUUUCAGACAAGUUUCUCUGAAGAUGUUGUGGUUGAUCAUUUAGGUGAGCGUUUAGAAAACUGGAAAGCCACAGUUAUUUAACAAAUAUGACACAACGCGCCUUCCAGUUAAAUUUCUUGUUAUGAUGGUUACCAUUUUAAAAGCAACAUCUGCCAACUGUUACCAUACUGUGGUAUCUGAGGUACCACAUUUAUUUCCUAUUCUGAGGGUACAGGAGACUGUGCUGUCUCAAACAUAACUGAGGCAAAUGUUGAUUAAUGUUGACCUUCUAAUAGUUACUACUGUACAUUUUUUAUUACAAUAAUUCAUAGUAUUAUACGUAAUAAUAAUAUGAAUAUCACUGAAUUAUUUAUACACUUAAUGUUGGUAAAUACUGAUGAGGUAAUAACAAUGACUAAUUUCUAUACUUAUGCCAGUAAAUAGUGAUGAGGAAGAGAAAUUGUUUAGAGUAGGCUCAAUCUCUUGCUAACCUUCACCAAUUAAAAGAUAUUUUCAGCUGUAUUUUCAUGCCACAAGAAUGGAGCUGUCUUAUGGGAUUCUUGAACUCCAAAAAUGAUUUAGAGGUUACAAUGGUCAAGCAAAGCCUCAGUGUCAUGUGCUAGCAAAAAUCACUCCUGUCAUCCUUGGACAUAUAAACAGAAAUAAGAGUAGGGAUGUGAAUCUAUUUAUAUUUCUUGUUGCUAAGUCUCGUACCGGAACAUACAGUUUGGGUUUCGGCUUGUUAAAAUGAUGUUCGGGCGUAAGUUAGAAUCCAGCGAGAAGCUGUAGGAAACACCAUUAGGUGUUUAAGAGGUCAGGACCUGCCUGCUUAGCUUUGCGGGAAGGAAGGUGGGGAGGUGACCUGAUCUGAAGAAUCUGUCAGAGGAAGAAGGCACCGAGCAAUGCAAAAUUCUUUAUGUUGGGGAUAAAAACUGCAAAACAAAACCAGUAUCAGGAAGGUAAAAAGAGACAAAUGUGAAUUGGAAAUUAAGCAGAGUUUUUUAUAGGUAGAGUAAAUAACCGCUCAAACAAUACAAGAGGUAGAAAAGGUAAUUUUUUUUUCCUUGACUACUUCAAAUCAAGACAGAAGGCCUUUUCUAGAAAAUAAGCUUUGUACAGUGGUAAAUAAGAAGACUAAACUCACCUGCUUGGACCUUUAUGUAAAGAAGGGGGUAAGCUGUGCAUGCCUGAAUUAGCAGUGGAUAAACUGUUUUCCUGGGCUUAUCUGUAGCUGUACAUCGGAGUUUGCCUGACCACAAUCAGCAGCGUUUACUAGAAAGAUGACUGCAUCCGAGGCAUUUCAUCACCAGUGAUAAACAGGUUAGGCCAAAUAAAGUGGUGUUUUCCCCCAACCUUGAAUGCCAGGGAGCUGUUAUGUGCAAGCCGUCUUGCCGGAGGUGUUCAGCAUGGGACUGGGAACGGGAGGGCCUGGCAUCCAUUUCCAGCUCUGCCACUGACCGGCUGUCCUCAGGUGUCAUUCAUCUGCCGGGGCCCUGCUUUUCCAGUUGCAAAAUUGGCAUAAUGAUAUUUACUUUGCUUAGAAAGGAUGUCAUGAUCUUUAGCUAAAAAUUUCAAGUUACUACUGUUUAUUGUUUUGUGGUAUUGCUGACCAAAUUUGCUCAAAAUUAUUUCUUGGCAUUUUUGCAAAUCCUCCCAGGUUCUCCUCUGAAGGAUUUCACAAGUUUGAGUAUAGAAGGUGAUUUACUUAUUCUCUAGUUCAGAAGAGGGGAGGGACGUCCUUUCAGAUUUCAGAAGAAGGUGAAAAAUGCGACUUUUUAGAUGUCCAGGUCCUGUUGUGAAACUGCUGGAUAUGGGAGCAUGGUCAAAGUUGCACAGUAGGCAUCGCCUGGAAAGGAGAAACACUGAGGAACUGCUGCUUCUGCUCUUAUAACUCCAUUCUCAGGGAAAUUUCCUCCUUUACAGCAGUUGCCUUACUUAAAACAAGAAUGAGAUUGUUUCAGGUAACCGUGGGAACUACGUUAGGUGGGGAUGCUCGCCAGGGUAAGACACAAGUGCGUUAGAAGAAAGCGGCGACGGUUUGGCUUUCCCAACUGGUUCGAGGUGCUCAGCGAAAACCCACCUUCCCUCCAUGGGUGGGCCUUUUUCCAAAGGCGUUUAAAUGCCUUGGAAGCACGAGUCCCACCGACUUCCAGCCAUGUGCGAAACCCUGCUGCAAAGCUGAGGGCUCCUUCUCCUGCGCCGGCUGCUUGGGACAGGUUCAGCCAGUUGGGGACCCGGGAGAAAUGAUGUAAGAGGGGACUUUUUCUGUGCCACUUGUCCCAGCCAGUCAACUUAAAAUGCUGGAUAUGUGCGGAAGAGCAUUGCAAAACUUGCCCAGACCAUGAGCAGCUGCCAUGCCCAAAGGACGCGGAUAAAGCUGCCGUCGAAGCAUUGCUGACUGUAGCUGCAUUUUGAACGCCAUUGUCAGAGCACGGCUAUUUUUGAAGGCAGAAAAAUGAAAUAAGAAGCCAAAAGGCAGUAAGUACUUUGGGGCUGACACUGGAGAAGCCAAGUUUCAGCUCUGAGUUCCCCCUUUCACCACCGUCAGCCAAGUCGUAAUCCACGCGCAAACCCAGGCAGAGCUAUUGAGCACAGCUAGAGCAAGGACGCUGGAAAAGGAAUCCCGAAUCCACAAGGAGCUUCGUGCCUGCAGAGCAUGCAGCCUUUUAUCUUUCAUUAGCAAAUAUUAUGCAUUAUUGGACAGCGCCCGGUGCAGUUACUUACAGGAACAUUUAAUCAAAUAAUCUACUCCUCUCCCAGGCGGCUUAGACCACUGCAGUUUUAUAGUUACCUACUUCAGCUGGAACAGUUCCUUUCAGCUGUAAAAGCAAAUAUGGAACAUGGAAAAAAAGUCUCAUUUUAUCAAAACAGACAGAACUAUUCCAGCUGCUGAUAUUAAGGUAAAAAUAGCAAGGUUAAAUGUUAAACAACCUCUGAGUGGACGUUUAUAACUACAAAGAAAGCCAGGCCAAUUGCUCUGAAAGCCCUUUCUUUAAAAAAAAAAAAAAAAAUCCUUGUUUUACUUCUGAAAAUUUAUUUUACCCUGUUGCUGAUGAUUAAAUACAGUGGAAACCGGUUCCCUUGAUAACAAAUACAUCAGUAAUGUGUGGUGCUUCCUGCCUCAGCAUCUUGUAGCUGCAAAAGUUUCCAUGGCCAGAUUUGAAUGCUCAAAGUGCUAAUAAUGUCUGCUAGUCAGCCUUCCUACUGUUCAGAAAAUUUCACUCCUGUGGCUUUUUGGCUUGUUUUGAGAAAUCACUGUAGAGGUUAGUGAACUUUUCAAUGUGUUGGUAUUUAAACUGUGGUCAGACAGUAAAAAAAAAAGAAGAAGAAGAAGAAGAAGAAGAAAGAGAAGAAAAAAAGUUGGUUCCUAAAAAGAUAUUCCCUAUUAAUAAUGUUUUGUAUGGUCAUUUGCAUGGGAAUUGAACUGAUUUUGGAACAUCCCAUGUUAAAAUGGAAUUCCUUUGACUUUUAACAUAUCUUGAAAAAUAUAGUGCAUUAAAUGAAAAGAUGCUUAAAACAA